GCGAACGGGUGCGUUCCACGUGAGCGAAAAGCCUUCCCGCGGGGGAUAGCCGGCCCAACGGCCGGGUAAUACUGCCUACGCUCGAUUGGGGGCCUCCCUGAUCGAGGAAACUUCUGGGGCGGGGAGAGGGGCUCGCGGCCUAUCAGCUAGUUGGCGGGGUAACGGCCCACCAAGGCAGUGACGGGUAGCUGGUCUGAGAGGAUGGCCAGCCACAUUGGGACUGAGAGACGGCCCAGACUCCUACGGGAGGCAGCAGUGGG
rnacentral:rRNA from 1 species